ACAUGGCUGGCUUAGUUGGUAGAGCAUGUGACUCUUGAUCUCAGGGUGGUGAGUUCGAACCCCACGUUGGGUG
rnacentral:tRNA from 1 species